ACCACUGGCGGCAGCUAACACAUGCAAGUCGAGCGGUAGAGAGAAGCUUGCUUCUCUUGAGAGCGGCGGACGGGUGAGUAAAGCCUAGGAAUCUGCCUGGUAGUGGGGGAUAACGUUCGGAAACGGACGCUAAUACCGCAUACGUCCUACGGGAGAAAGCAGGGGACCUUCGGGCCUUGCGCUAUCAGAUGAGCCUAGGUCGGAUUAGCUAGUUGGUGAGGUAAUGGCUCACCAAGGCGACGAUCCGUAACUGGUCUGAGAGGAUGAUCAGUCACACUGGAACUGAGACACGGUCCAGACUCCUACGGGAGGCAGCAGUGGGGAAUAUUGGACAAUGGGCGAAAGCCUGAUCCAGCCAUGCCGCGUGUGUGAAGAAGGUCUUCGGAUUGUAAAGCACUUUAAGUUGGGAGGAAGGGCAUUAACCUAAUACGUUAGUGUUUUGACGUUACCGACAGAAUAAGCACCGGCUAACUCUGUGCCAGCAGCCGCGGUAAUACAGAGGGUGCAAGCGUUAAUCGGAAUUACUGGGCGUAAAGCGCGCGUAGGUGGUUUUGUUAAGUUGGAUGUGAAAUCCCCGGGCUCAACCUGGGAACUGCAUUCAAAACUGACUGACUAGAGUAUGGUAGAGGGUGGUGGAAUUUCCUGUGUAGCGGUGAAAUGCGUAGAUAUAGGAAGGAACACCAGUGGCGAAAGCGACCACCUGGACUAAUACUGACACUGAGGUGCGAAAGCGUGGGGAGCAAACAAGGAUUAGAUACCCUGGGUAGUCCACGCCCGUAAACGAUGUCAACUAGCCCGUUUGGGGAGCCUUUGAGCUCUUAGUGGGCGCAGCUAACGCAUUAAAGUUUGACCGCCCUGGGGGAGUACGGCCGCAAGGUUAAAACUCAAAUGAAUUGACGGGGGCCGCACAAGCGUUGUGCAUGUGGAUUAAGUCGAAGCACGCGAAGAACCUACAGCCUGGACAUUCAUGACUUUCUAGAGAAUAGAUGCUGCCUUAGUACAUGAAACGUCUGCAUGGCCGUCCGUUCCAG
rnacentral:rRNA from 1 species